rnacentral:rRNA from 1 species
AUUGAACGCUGGCGGCAGGCCUAACACAUGCAAGUCGAGCGAGCGGCGGACGGGUGAGUAAUGUAUGGGGAUCUGCCUGAUGGCGGGGGAUAACUACUGGAAACGGUAGCUAAUACCGCAUACCAUCCGAUGACCCCAUAUGGGAUUCGCUAGUAGGUGGGGUAACGGCUUACCUAGGCGACGAUCGCUAGCUGGUCUGAGAGGAUGAUCAGCCACACUGGGACGGAGACACGGCCCAGACGCCUACGGGAGGAAGAAGUGGGGAAUAUUGCACAAUGGGCGCAAGCCUGAUGCAGCCAUGCCGCGUGUAUGAAGAAGGCCUUCGGGUUGUAAAGUACUUUCAGGAGGGAGGCGUUACCGACAGAAGAAGCACCGGCUAACUCCGUGCCAGCAGCCGCGGUAAUUC